UACGUAGGGUGCAAGCGUUGUCCGGAAUUAUUGGGCGUAAAGAGCUCGUAGGCGGUCUGUCGCGUCGGAUGUGAAAGCCCGGGGCUUAACCCCGGGUCUGCAUUCGAUACGGGCAGACUAGAGUGUGGUAGGGGAGAUCGGAAUUCCUGGUGUAGCGGUGAAAUGCGCAGAUAUCAGGAGGAACACCGGUGGCGAAGGCGGAUCUCUGGGCAGUAACUGACGCUGAGGAGCGAAAGCGUGGGGAGCGAACAGG
rnacentral:rRNA from 1 species